rnacentral:rRNA from 1 species
GAUGAACGCUGGCGGCGUGCUUAACACAUGCAAGUCGAACGGAAAGGCCCAAGCUUGCUUGGGUACUCGAGUGGCGAACGGGUGAGUAACACGUGGGUGAUCUGCCCUGCACUUCGGGAUAAGCCUGGGAAACUGGGUCUAAUACCGGAUAGGACCACUUCUUGGAUGUUGUGGUGGAAAGUUUUUUCGGUGUGGGAUGAGCUCGCGGCCUAUCAGCUUGUUGGUGGGGUAAUGGCCUACCAAGGCGUCGACGGGUAGCCGGCCUGAGAGGGUGUACGGCGACAUUGGGACUGAGAUACGGCCCAGACUCCUACGGGAGGCAGCAGUGGGGAAUAUUGCACAAUGGGCGCAAGCCUGAUGCAGCGACGCCGCGUGGGGGAUGACGGCCUUCGGGUUGUAAACUCCUUUCGCUAGGGACGAAGCGUUUUGUGACGGUACCUGGAGAAGAAGCACCGGCUAACUACGUG